ACAUUUCAGCUGGAGAAGGAAAACUCUGUAGAAGAGAAAAUAAUGGGCAAGGGAUUUUCCCCUGAAAGUGGAGCGGUCAAAGUGCAGCUCUAGGAAACGAGUUGUUCUUUUCUGUGGCUCGGGGAACAGGAGAUGACGGAUAUCCUCUAAACUUACGGUGAUCAUCAUUACAUGAUGAGAACCAAUACAAGGAAGUAUUAUCAAGUUGGCUACUACCAUGGGAAAGUUAACAAAAGUCAACCUGCUCUACAAUCCUGUGAAUGAACGUGCAAAGGAAUCAGCCUGGGCUUGGUGCAGAGCUACCUGGACUAGAUUUCUGAGAAAUCUAAUGUCAGCCAGAGAAGCGCCCCAACUGAGGAACUUAAGGAUGAACCAAAGCUUCAGAGCAAAAGCACGUCAGCUAAGUUUGUACCAACAUGCAUGGUGGAGUACAUACACAUUAGUCUUCCAUGGACUACCAUAAGGGACCUUGAACUUUUUGUUUGCACAUCAGUUAAAAUAAUACUGAAAAAUCUUUUUAUUUCUUCCACAUUAGGUUAACAGCCAAAAUAGUUUACUCUAAGUUUAAGUUGUUGAAAAUAAUGUAAUUUCUAGCCAAUUAUAAGUAUUAGCCCUACAACAAACUGUCAAAUAAUUAAAAAAAAUUUCCAGUGGAAUCUUGAAACAAUAGCAAUUCAAUAGCCACAAUACCUCAUUUAAAUAUGGGAACAAGAUUAUUUUAAUAAUCAGAAAAUUUAUAUAUACCGUUCCUUUUCUUCUUGAAUUUUCCCUUCCAUUCAACUCCCUCCACAAAUUUUUAAUCUAAUGGAAUUUUUUUAUGCUUGGAUGUCUUAUAUUGAUUACAUACACUCUGAAAAAAUUAAGUAUAUGAAUUGAAAUCUGAAAUUAACAUGUUUUCUAUAAGCCUCUAAUAGAUCUAACUUUAUUACUGUCGUAUGACACAAAGCAACAUGCUUUGCAAAUUUUUAUAGUUAUAUAAUUAUAUCUAUAAACAUAGAAGUAAACUUGAUAUGAGAAAGGCUCACGCAUUCAUAUACAGGUCUAUGGGACUGCAAGGGUAAGCCCCUCUGGCCACCAGUGCCAGGCGAUCUAGAUGAGUCUCCUGGGAGGCAGUUUCAAAAACCACGGCACCAGGCACAUGCGCGUGAUAGGGCAUUUCCGGAGACGCGGGCGCUUAGAGCGCGGAGAGGAAGAGCGCGAACAUGGCGCCGCCCUCCUGUCUCUGUUUCUGGAACGCUCCCCAGCAGGCCGCCAAAUGAGUGUCAACUCAGACGCUUGCCCCUUGGGCGAAGCUCCCAGACAAGCUGAGCGUGUCCCACUCACAGUCCCGGAGCAGCCCGGUCGUCGGCGGGAACCGUGGGGCGGGUGAGUCCGGGCUGGAGUCGUGUGCGUUUUCUAAGCUAGGUAUUUCAGGGGCUUGUCUCUCAGGUGCAGGUCUUAAAGGUUGAAGAUGUUCCAUGUGGGGUUCAGGCCCUUGUCUCCUCGGGGAGAAGCUCGCAUUUUGUGUUCCCUUCUGACGGUGGGGCGCUGUGCUAGGAGGGGGUGGGGUUUAUGGUGAGAUUGUGUCUCAGCCUCUCCUACCGGGUUUGAUGUGGACCUUCUCUUGUUUGUCAGGCAGGUAGGAGUUGCUUAGACAGUGUUUAGGUUUUUUUGUAGAGGCAGUUGUUCCAUACGUAGCUGUAGGUUCGGUGUGUUUGUGGAAGGAGGUGAGUUCGGGAACCUGUUACCGACGUCAUCUUAAACUGGAACCCCCGAAAAAGGUUCAUGAUAAAAUACCUUAGUUUAUCAUCUGCAUCUGAAUAUUACUGAUUAUGGGAAUGAGACGGGGUUCAAUGGAAUAAAACAGCAGCCAAAAAGUGAAAAAUACUAGGUAUACAAAAGGUAUAUUAAUGAUAGCUUAUUCUCAUUAAUCUAAAUCUACCAGAUAUGUAAUAAGAAUAAAUAAGCAAACACAGAAGCGAUUGACGGAGGAUAGCUGUCAGAAAUCUUGGUGCCCAAGUGAAAAGUGAAUAUGGAUUUUCACGUAUAUAAUUGUGAAAGGGAAGUUCCAGAAAGAUCUCUCUACUUUGGUUGUAUUCUCAGAACGAAGCUGAGGAUCGGGAAAAUCAUUGCUUUAAAGUUAUCCGUGCUUGCUUAGCCUUGGAACAUUUUUGUAUGACUCAGGGGUACUUGCAUCCCCAUUCAAAGACCCCUAGUUAUUUGCCACGUUUUAUGAACAUUAUGAAUUCCAUCAUGAUCCAAUAGAACAAAAGCCAUGAGAAUAAUAGAGUGUGUGCAUAAGCAGGGAUGUGCAUUUACACUGGAAAUAAAAGUAGCAAUCAAGGUAGAGCUAAUUUUUUUAAAAAGUGAGAAAAUGAGAAAGUUCAUGUCUGAAUGCAGUAUAGGAAUGAUUCUGAAAGAAGAACGGGCAAAUCAAACAAAUGUGAGAAGUAUUGAUUGUAUCCUACCAGCAAUAUCAGAAAAAGGGAUGAUGAAAACGUAUUUACUGAAUGAAAGAAAAAAAAAAAAAACCGGAAAAGAAAACUGACCUUUUAAGCAUGUGGCUAGAGGAUUCCUGCUACCAUUGCAGGUCAAUGAUCGGAUUAUGAUUCAGGAGAAGAUGUGCAGGUUUUGGGCAAUGUAAAGCCUAAGCUUGGUGGCAGUGUUUCGAUGACCUCUUUCUCAGUAGAUUUCAGGCCCGGUAGCAUCUGGACAUAUAAUAUCAAAGCAUCUGGACAAGGCAGCCUGCGCAGGCACCUACAAACUCACAGGCAUCACCACAAAGGAUGCUGCAGGCCUCAGCAGGCUUUCAAAGUGACUGUGAGUGGCCACCCCUACUAACAGUGAAGGUUUCUCUGGGUCAUACUCAUGCUGUCUCCAGAUUCACUAAAGAUUUAUUAUACUUUACAUCCUGGUUUUCUAUAUUGUAGGGGAAUCAAGAAUGGGACUGUAUUCCCACUUUCAGCAAAUCAGCAUAAAGAAAGCAUAGCAGCCCAGAGGAGACAGCUGGAGGGUAGCAGGGCCUGACUGGUGGGGCUCUGAAGCUGCAGUGUUAUCUUUUAAUUAACAAAUCAAGUAGACAUUUUAAGCUCCUAUAUGUGGGUGUAUUUGGUUUUGUCUUAACCUUUAUAGAUGAUGUUAAAGAUAAUAAUUACCUUUUUUUCACUUAAAGUCCUUGGAGCUCUCUUCAUUCUUUGUGCUUAUUUAUGCUAGGCACAAUUCAGAUAACACUCAUUUUAAAAGUCUCUAACGUGUCAAUCAUAUAUCCAUUUAUUCAUCUAUUCAAGAUAUAUUUAUUGUGCAAAUGCUAUGUACUUGGCAUUGGAAAUAAAGUCGUGGAUCAGGUGGUAAUUAUCCUUGAGCUCAUGGAGCUUAGAGCAUCAUAGGGCAAUAGAUAUUAAAAAAAUAGCCUAAUAACUAUUUAUAAUUGUAUUAAGAAUUUUGAAGAAUAACUUUAAGGCACUACAUAAGUGUACGAGUUGUCAACUAAGUUGUAAUUUCCUUGAAGUCAGGGACCACUUUCUAUACUUCUUUUGGGUUUCUCUGUAGCUCCUAACAUAGAUCAUAAUAUAGAGUAUUAGAUGCUCAAUAAAUAUUUCAUUGAUUACCAUUUCUGUAUUUGAGGCUGAAAUGUCAAAUCAAACAUUUUUACUUCCUCACUGAACAAACGUGAAGGCUGUACUGUAAUUUUAAUUUGUAAUUUGUACCUGAAGCCACUGUUUGCAAAACUCACCGAAGUUGUGACCCUUCUCCUAGACCUGUGCUCAGGCCAGAGGCUAUGUUUACAUAAGGUGAGCUGAAUUCUUGAUCUCUGAAUCCUGUUGAUUGGUUACUGGGUCUCAGUUCAUAGCUCUGUUUUUGUUCAUUGGUUCUCCGUAGAGUUUGAAAGCAGUUCUUUGACUUGCCCUUGGUGUAGUUGCCCCUCCCCUACCUGCCAGGUGGCUGCUGCUCCGGCAUCCUGCCACAGAUCUAACAUGGUGGCUCAGGGUGCUCAAGGUGGCCUCAGCAGCUCGACUGUGUUUCAGGAUUUACAGUGAAGGUUAAAUGGGCUGGUGGGUAAUGCUGUUGGAACCCAAGGAGUUCCGUGUUAGUGUUAUGCCACUGCAGUAUGCUUGCUGAUCGGUCAGGAGCUUCAAUCCACUUGACGGUUAACAACAAAAUAGCAGAUCAAAUCAGGGCCAAAGUGUCUUUUAAGGGAUUGUCUAACAGACAGGCAGUUUUUGUUUGUUUUUUUUAGCAAGUAGCUGUCCAUGUACUCUAACAUGGUGAUAACUUUGAACACUAAGGCAUCACUUGUUUUUCCUGGAGUAGCUGAUAUAUUGGUUUGGCCAAAAAGUUUGUUCGGGUUUUUCCAUAACAUUUUACGGAAUAUUAACUCAGUCAUUUUCAAAAUUAUUCUUAGUCCAUAGCAGUGGACCUAUAGUUAUGUGCAAAGAUCCUUGAAAGUGUAUUUCAAAGGGACCUAAGAGUAAAAAUUGCCUUUUUUAUGGUCUCACAAAACAUGUUUUUGUACCCCUUGAAUUUUCAUGCAUGUCUUUUUCUGCUGCAGUAUAACAAGACGGGUGAGAACAACUUCAUAUGUGUAUCUUUAGUGUAUAUCACCUUGCUCUAGGACUGAGAAUGUAUUCUGUUGGGGGUAUAAAUAAGUAAAUACAUGGUGACUGCUGAAUAUAUGAUGCCAUUUAAGAUGGGAUUUUCUCAGAAGACUCUGGAGAACUUUUGACAAUGGAUCCUGAAUUCCUUCAUUGAGUAUGAAAGUGAAGAAA
ensembl:lncRNA